rnacentral:rRNA from 1 species
GAUGAACGCUAGCGGCAGGCCUAACACAUGCAAGUCGAGGGGCAGCAUAGUAAGUAGCAAUACUUGCGGAUGGCGACCGGCGCACGGGUGCGUAACGCGUAUGCAACCUACCCGUAACAGGGGGAUAAUCCGAAGAAAUUUGGUCUAAUAUCCCAUAAUAUGACCGAGGGCAUCCUUGGUGAUUGAAAGAUUCGUUGGUUACGGAUGGGCAUGCGUUGUAUUAGCUAGUUGGUAAGGUAACGGCUUACCAAGGCUACGAUACAUAGGGGAACUGAGAGGUUAACCCCCCACACUGGUACUGAGACACGGACCAGACUCCUACGGGAGGCAGCAGUGAGGAAUAUUGGUCAAUGGACGGAAGUCUGAACCAGCCAUGCCGCGUGCAGGAUGACGGCUCUAUGAGUUGUAAACUGCUUUUAUGCUAGGGUAAACUCGGGUACGUGUACCCGACUGAAAGUAUAGCAAGAAUAAGGAUCGGCUAACUCCGUGCCAGCAGCCGCGGUAAUACGGAGGAUCCAAGCGUUAUCCGGAUUUAUUGGGUUUAAAGGGUGCGUAGGCUGCUCGAUAAGUUAGAGGUGAAAAUUCGUCGCUUAACGACGGACGUGCCUCUGAUACUGUCGGGCUAGCGAGAGAGUGCUGUGGGCGGAAUGCGUAGUGUAGCGGUGAAAUGCUUAGAGAUUACACAGAACACCGAUUGCGAAAGCAGCUCACAAACUCUUUUCGGACGCUGAGGCACGAAAGCGUGGGGAGCAAACAGGAUUAGAUACCCUGGUAGUCCACGCUGUAAACGAUGAUUACUCGUUGUCGGCGAUAUAGCGAUCGGUGACUAAGCGAAAGCGAUAAGUAAUCCACCUGGGGAGUACGUUGGCAACAAUGAAACUCAAAGGAAUUGACGGGGGCCCGCACAAGCGGAGGAACAUGUGGUUUAAUUCGAUGAUACGCGAGGAACCUUACCCGGGCUUGAAAGUUAGUGACAGUCUCUGAAAGGAGACCUCCCUUCGGGG